UCUAUUAAUCUUGACAACAAGAGUUGUUCAAAUGCCACUGUAGGUUUGAAAAACUAGUGUUUUGCAUUUUUUUCAAUUAAUUAAUCUUUUUAUAUAUUUUGUUAGAUAAAUGUUGUUAGUGGUUGUUGAUUUAACUAGGGAAGGUAUUAUCUAGGAAAGGUAAUUUUUAGCUUUGUCAUUUAAUAGGGAAGGUAAUUCUGCAACACAAACUUUACCCCCAAGUUUCAAAUUCCUUUGUCUAUAAAUAGCAAAGGAUUGGUGCAUCAAAAAUACAAUAUGAUUUCCUUUUAUUUUUUAUCCUUUCUCUUUUCUUCAACACAAGAGAACCCAUCUUCAUUUCCUUUUUAUUGUUGACUUCUGUUUUACAUUGAAUUCUUGAGGAUUGAUUUCUUGAACCUGAAAAGAAAAAACUCAUUUGAUUAGAUCUCAUUCAUAAUCAAUAUUUAAGUGAGGCAUGAAUAUAUGAACAAAGAUUGAGGCCAUGAACUAUUUCUAUAUGCAAUUUAUUAGUUACUUUAUUUGAGACUUACAUUUUAUUAUUGAUUGGUCUUUUUUAUAGGUGACACUCACUUCUAUCAAGGAUCUCGUGUCUGUGUUUCAAAGGUAAAUAUAUGUUUUUCGAAGAUCUCAUUUCUUUCAUGAAUUGUCUUUAGUAAUAAAUUCUUAUAUUACUGACCUCAUAUCAUUUUGGUGACAUUAUGCUUAGUUCUANNNNNNNNNNNNUUGAACUUGAAGAAUAUUCAUUCAAAAUUCAUCACAAAACAAUUAAAGUACAAAAUUUAACACUAAUUUUAUAUUACACACUCAUGACAUCUUACUAUGUCUAAACUCAUCCUCUAAUAGUGAGUGAAUUAAUAGUUUUCGUUUGAAGUUUAUGACUUUCAUCAAGUUUAUUUGUCUUUCCUUUUCUUUCCUUUCAAAAAAGUUGAAAUCAUGAUAACAUGGACAAUCAAUCAAA
rnacentral:lncRNA from 1 species